rnacentral:rRNA from 1 species
AUUGAACGCUGGCGGCAGGCCUAACACAUGCAAGUCGAGCGGUAGAGAGGUGCUUGCAUCUCUUGAGAGCGGCGGACGGGUGAGUAAUGCCUAGGAAUCUGCCUAGUGGUGGGGGAUAACGUUCGGAAACGGACGCUAAUACCGCAUACGUCCUACGGGAGAAAGCGGGGGAUCUUCGGACCUCGCGCCAUUAGAUGAGCCUAGGUCGGAUUAGCUAGUUGGUGAGGUAAUGGCUCACCAAGGCGACGAUCCGUAACUGGUCUGAGAGGAUGAUCAGUCACACUGGAACUGAGACACGGUCCAGACUCCUACGGGAGGCAGCAGUGGGGAAUAUUGGACAAUGGGCGAAAGACCUGAUCC